GAUGAACGCUAGCGGCAGGCUUAAUACAUGCAAGUCGAGGGGCAGCACUGGUAGUAAUACCUGGUGGCGACCGGCAAACGGGUGCGGAACACGUACGCAACCUUCCCAUAACUGGUGAAUAGCCUUCCGAAAGGGAGAUUAAUACACCGUAACAUAAUGAAGUGGCAUCACUUUAUUAUUAUAGCUCCGGCGGUUAUGGAUGGGCGUGCGCCUGAUUAGGUAGUUGGUAGGGUAACGGCCUACCAAGCCUUCGAUCAGUAACUGGUGUGAGAGCACGACCAGUCACACGGGCACUGAGACACGGGCCCGACUCCUACGGGAGGCAGCAGUAAGGAAUAUUGGUCAAUGGACGCAAGUCUGAACCAGCCAUGCCGCGUGAAGGAUGAAGGCCCUCUGGGCUGUAAACUUCUUUUAUCUGGGACGAAAAUAGGCUUUCCAGCUUACUUGACGGUACCAGAGGAAUAAGCACCGGCUAACUCCGUGCCAGCAGCCGCGGUAAUCU
rnacentral:rRNA from 1 species